CUAUUAGGUUGGCAGGAGCUGGGACAAGGAUGGGAGCUUACCCCCUCCUGUGGCACUGAGGUCUCAAACCAGGGCUACCAUCUUUCCAGCCAAGAAGCCCAAUGUCUUAAUCGCUGAGCCACCAUGCCACCCCAGAUCAGAAAGAGUAGCUUUUUUAAAAAAACUGUAGUUUGAAUUUAAAUUCAAUUCAAUGAAGAGGCUUAGAGACUACAACUGGGAGUCCAUAAUGCAUAGUUUGAAUUUAAGCAAAGAUCUAAAGUCAACUGGAAGUAAGAGUGAAUAUGUUCUGAACAGGAGUGCUAAAUUCUGGAUAAAUGUUCUAAGAGAUCUGAG